AUUGAACGCUGGCGGCAGGCCUAACACAUGCCAGUCGAGCGGAUGAAGGGAGCUUGCUCCUGGAUUCAGCGGCGGACGGGUGAGUAAUGCCUAGGAAUCUGCCUGGUAGUGGGGGAUAACGUCCGGAAACGGGCGCUAAUACCGCAUACGUCCUGAGGGAGAAAGUGGGGGAUCUUCGGACCUCACGCUAUCAGAUGAGCCUAGGUCGGAUUAGCUAGUUGGUGGGGUAAAGGCCUACCAAGGCGACGAUCCGUAACUGGUCUGAGAGGAUGAUCAGUCACAUUGGAACUGAGACACGGUCCAGACUCCUACGGGAGGCAGCAGUGGGGAAUAUUGGACAAUGGGCGAAAGCCUGAUCCAGCCAUGCCGCGUGUGUGAAGAAGGUCUUCGGAUUGUAAAGCACUUUAAGUUGGGAGGAAGGGCAGUAAGUUAAUACCUUGCUGUUUUGACGUUACCAACAGAAUAAGCACCGGCUAACUUCGUG
rnacentral:rRNA from 1 species